rnacentral:tRNA from 1 species
GGGGGCGUAGCCCAACCGGCAGAGGCCGACUCCUUAAAAGAGUCCAAGUGAGGGUUCGAGUCCCUCCGCCCCCA